rnacentral:rRNA from 1 species
UACGUAGGGUGCGAGCGUUGUCCGGAAUUAUUGGGCGUAAAGAGCGUGUAGGCGGCCAGGUAGGUCUGCUGUGAAAACUCGAGGCUUAACCUCGAGCUGUCGGCGGAAGCCAUCUGGCUAGAGUCCGGAAGAGGAGAAUGGAAUUCCCGGUGUAGCGGUGAAAUGCGCAGAUAUCGGGAAGAACACCCGUGGCGAAGGCGGUUCUCUGGGACGGUACUGACGCUGAGACGCGAAAGCGUGGGGAGCGAACAGG